CUUGGUCAUUUAGAGGAGUAAAAGUCGUAACAAGGUUUCCGUAGGUGAACCUGCGGAAGGAUCAUUAUCGUACAAAAUGUGAGGGGGCAUGCAAGGGCUGUCGCUGACUUCAAAGUCGUGCACGCCCCGGGUGUGUCCCCUCACAUAAUAAUCCAUCUCACCCUUUGUGCAUCACCGCGUGGGCGCCCUUUGGGAUCAUCUCGGAGGGGGCUCGCGUUUUCACACAAACCCCCCCCCUUUUAAAAGUGUAGAAUGACCUCAUAUAUGCAAUCAAUACAACUUUCAACAACGGAUCUCUUGGCUCUCGCAUCGAUGAAGAACGCAGCGAAAUGCGAUACGUAAUGUGAAUUGCAGAAUUCAGUGAAUCAUCGAAUCUUUGAACGCACCUUGCGCCCCUUGGUAUUCCGAGGGGCACACCCGUUUGAGUGUCGUGAAAACCUCAACCUCCUUGGUUUCUUCUGGAGACCAAAGCAGGCUUGGACUUUGGAGGCCUUUGCUGGUGCCUCUCUCUUUUGAAGUGCCAGCUCCUCUUAAACAAAUUAGCAGGGUCCUCUUUGCUGAUCCUCGACGUGUGAUAAGAUGUUUCCAUGUCUUGGUUUCUGGCUCUGUCACCUUUUGGGACCCGCUUCUAACCGUCUGGACCUUGUGUCGAGACAAUGUUCGAGCAUGAUGUCUCCCUUCUCGGGAAGCUCCCUCGACCCCACGAACCCUUGACCUCAAAUCGGGUGAGACUACCCGCUGAACUUAAGCAUAUCAAUAAGCGGAGGA
rnacentral:rRNA from 1 species